GUGGGGAAUCUUGCGCAAUGGGCGAAAGCCUGACGCAGCCAUGCCGCGUGAAUGAUGAAGGUCUUAGGAUUGUAAAAUUCUUUCACCGGGGACGAUAAUGACGGUACCCGGAGAAGAAGCUCCGGCUAACUUCGUGCCAGCAGCCGCGGUAAUACGAAGGGGGCUAGCGUUGCUCGGAAUUACUGGGCGUAAAGGGCGCGUAGGCGGACAGCUUAGUCAGAGGUGAAAGCCAAGGGCUCAACCUUGGAAUUGCCUUUGAUACUGGCUGUCUUGAGUUUGGGAGAGGUGAGUGGAACUCCGAGUGUAGAGGUGAAAUUCGUAGAUAUUCGGAAGAACACCAGUGGCGAAGGCGACUCACUGGCCCAAUACUGACGCUGAGGCGCGAAAGCGUGGGGAGCAAACAGGAUUAGAUACCCGUGUAGUCC
rnacentral:rRNA from 1 species